GCGUCACAGCUCAGGAAUUGGAACAAAUCCGGCCAUCUGAUUGGCUGGCCGUGUUCCGGGGUUUAAGGAAUUGGAACAAAUGCAGCACGGUGAUUGGGAGAGGCGGGACAUCGCCUCGCCGAGGACAGCCAUUGGUUCAGAAGUUGGAACAAUUGGAACAGAGAAGAUGGAACAUGCAAAUUCGUGAAGCGUUACUCUUUUUUCAUUAAAAUUUUUGUCCACUGACUCUAAUGGAACAGCGCCCCCACCGCCGGCGGCGCUGGCGGGAACUGCAGCGGCAGGACUCAGUGUUUGUUACAAACUGCAUCUGAAGUAAUUAUACGACUAAACCGAGCUGCUCUUUAAAAUCAACGACUGUUAAUAAAAACUACACGUCACACAGACAAAGGAACGUGAUUAUCAGCUGUUCUUUCUCUGUGUGAAGGAUCACAGCGCCACCUACCGGACAAACCACGUGAUACUCUGAAGUAAAAUGUCACAACACCUCAAAUCUAAGUGACGUGCUUCUAAAAUAAAAGCCGCAGUAUGUUGAUGGAGAACGGUGUAAACUGUUAUUACUGGUAUUAUUGAUAACACCAUUUACACCUCCAGGUCUUCUCUCCCUCCUGUCGCCUCACCUCUGAACCCAGCCGGUGGAGGAGUGGAGCAGAAGGUCAGCGGUUCGAUACCCGGUCGUUACAAAACUGGAGAAAAGCUUCAGGGGUCGCUGCACAGCGUAACUGAGGUCUUUGUCAAUAAUGUGGCCGCCUGAUAAACACAGAACAGUGAUGUAUUAUCCACCAGACAGUGACGGAGGAAAAACCAAGAUUAAGAUUAAUUGUCUGAGUGAAGUUGUUAAACUGGACACCUGCUGAUUGUCACUGAUUUCUGUCAUUAACAUGAAUAUUGUGUUGACUUUUUAAUGUUUUGACCUUUGAACCCUGACAGGUUGACUGACAUGAGUCAUCCAUAUUAUUUUGUCAGUGUUGCAUUUGCAUGUUACUGUCCUCGUGUUUACAUGUCACAUAAUGUAAAUAAAUCAUAAAUAAUAAAGCUUUCAAACAAA